GAUAGAGUCAACGACCGGCGAUGAUACGAUGAAGGCCUUCGGGUCGUAAAGUUCUGUUGUUAGGGAAGAACAAGUACCGGAGUAACUGCCGGUACCUUGACGGUACCUAACCAGAAAGCCACGGCUAACUACGUG
rnacentral:rRNA from 1 species